rnacentral:misc_RNA from 1 species
GUAUUGAUUGCGGGUUAGCGCAUAAAUGAGGUCAUUCUACACUUUUUAAAAGGGGUGUUUGUGUGAAAACGCGAGCCUCCUCCGAGAUGAUCCCAAAGGGUGCCCACGCGGUGAUGCACAAAGGGUGAGAUGGAUUAUUAUGUGAGGAAACACACCCGGGCGUGCACGACAUUGAGUCAGCGACAGCCCUCGCACCCCCGUUGUAUGAUAAUGAUCCUUCCGCAGGUUCACCUACGGAAA